AGUCCUCUUUAUUUUGAGUAGGAUGAGAGUGCUCUGGAAGCCAUAAAAAGCCAUCCCCAAAAAGUCACCCCAUCUUUGACUAUUCUGAAGCUCUAAGUGCAGUUCCCAACCAGCAGUGGAUGCCCUACAGGAGUCUCAGCAACUAGGGAGGAGAUGUGAGAAAGAGUGCUUGCAAACUCCCCGGGCUUUCUGAAAGAAAGAACCAGUGUUUGCCGAGGCUCUCCUGGAGGCGCUGCCUGCGCUCAACUCAGCGCUCCCAUUCAUGCCCUGAACCUGGGGGCUGGGCAUGCCAACGCCGAUGUCACUGCCACACACCAGUGAGUGUCAGGAGAAGCAAGUUUCAGCAGGUGGCGGCCAGGGGCCAAAUACCUCUAGGUUACAAUGCAAUAGAUGAUGGAAGACCAAUUAAUUUUUUUACGACAGGAGAAAUAACUUAAAGAUUAACAAGCAUUAAUUAUUUAUUGAACUGCUGCCUAUGCAAAAAAAAAAAAAAAAAAAAGGAGGGGGGGAAAUUGCCCUGUAUGGAGAAAUUAAUCUCUCCAAUAAUCUCAGCUCUUUGCUUAGAAGCCAUGUCAUCAUCUCCAGGCCAUGUAGUGAGAUCAUUUAGAAGGCAUGGAGUCACUCUGAACAGUCUCUUUCAGGGUCGUCCAAAAACUGCUUAGGGGUUUUAACUUUUCUGUCUUUCAGUCUUUCCAGCCCCUGUGCAGAAAGAGAAAGCUCUAGAAUCUGAUCUCCAUCUCAGGUCUGCGGUUCUGACCCCCAGAAGAGGCAAGUUGAGACAAACGCCUGCACGUCACAGCAAUCAACUGUUGUUUGACAAAGAGCCUGUGCCUGCCUUGUCCUGGAAGUUUGUGAUGGAGGAGGAUGGAGGAGGGAACAGCAUCUUCUGGGGGCAGAGAGGCGGAGAAGGAGCCAGCUAACCAGGUGCUCUUCUGUUCCCUGCUACUGGCAAUCGGAUGGCUCCCCACAGGGUUUAUGUCCACCCAAGGCAGUGUUCCCGGACAAAAUGGAGUGCAAGAGGUCGCCACAGCUGCCACGCGGAGGCGUGUGCUGUGCAUUUGACUGGAUGUGUACACUCGCCUUUCUGUUUCAGACCGAGUGAGCCAGGGCUUGCGACCUUCGGGAGUGAGAGCACCUGUAAGAAAUCGGCAGCACGCGAGCGGCUUUUGCGCAGACUCUCCAAGUCUGUGUUGCCAGAGCUUCUCUUGCUCCAUUAGAUGUGCAGCUGCCAGUCCUGCCUGAAUGGGGUUGGAAGAUGACCCAGUCCUGCUCGCAGUGGGCGUGUGUGCGCAUGCGCGGGCGAUGUGCGUGUUAUUGCGGUUCCAGCCCUCCACACAGGAGUCUGCCUCAGCACUUCCCAAGCACGCUGCAGCUGUUUAGGUUUCUGCGGUUUCUACUCCACUGGGUUUCUUGAAGAUGGCUACUACGUCGUCGUCAACUUUGCAUCUUCCAUGCCAUCAAAUUAUGAAAGAUGAAGACUGGGAGUUCCUAUUGUGGUUCAGGCGGUAAAGAACUCGACUAGUGUUCUUGAGGAUGCAGGUUCCAUCCCUGGCCUCGCUCGUUAAAGGAUCGGCGUUGCCGUGAGCUGUGGUGUAGGUCCCAGACGUGGCUCGGAUCCCACAGUGUGGCUGUGGCGAAGCUAGGCAGCUGCAGCUCCAAUUCAACCCCUAGCCUGGGAACUUCUAUAUGCCACCUGUGCAGUCCUAAAAAGAAAAAAAGAAAAAAAAAAAAAAGAUGAAGCCUGGGUCAGGAUGCUCCCAGGCAGCCCAGCUGCUUUUCUGGGCCAAGGUCUAUGUCUCCAUGUCCCAGGUCAGCCCAAGUCUCUUAGAUGCCUCGUCCUCCUCACUCCUCUCUCCAACAGCAACUCAAAUGUCAGACCAACCACCUCCCUCCUUGGGUAGCUUAAUGCUAUUAGCUUUGUAUGUGGAUCUUAAGUGGGCUUAUUCCCACCUGCUUAUUUGAGAGCUAGAACCAAUUGGAGGCUUCUUCAUGAGGUGUGUGGCAAUGGUGUCCCCAAAUAGUUCGGGGUGAUGAAAGAAAUCAGCUUGGGAGAGACACCUCCCUGUUUGUCUUCUCAGCUUGGGAGCGGGCCCCAGUGCAGCUCUGCCUCAACCCCCGCCUCUCUCUGCCCAGGGCUACACAGGACUCAGAGGUGUUGCAUUCCGAGUGUGUGAAAAGAGCAAAAGGAAUAUGAGUCAGAGAAAUAAUUCCUGGGCC
ensembl:lncRNA